UUCGCCCCAUAGGUAACACAAUAUACGUAAACAGUUGAAAGAAGUCCGUUACUGCAACCAACAACUUUGCAUCUCCAGAUUCUGCAUUCGCAAACAAAAUAGCUCUGAUCGCAUGGUUUUUGUAUUAAUGCGCCACAAAAAAACACUGACAAAGAAUAUCGUUAUUUUCGGUUGCAAAAAUUGACCAAUCAGAAGAUGUAAAAGCUAUCGGAAAUUGUUUUAUUUUUAGCUCACCUGUCACGAAGUGACAUGGUGAGCUUAUGUGACCGUGUGAUGUCCGGCGUCCGUUGUGUGUGCGUGUGUGCGUGCGUCCGUCAACAAUUUGUUUGUGUAGACAGUAGAGGUCACAGUUUUCAUCCAAUCUUUAUGAACUUUGGUCAGAUUGUUUAUCUUGAUGAAAUCUGGCUUGGGAUUGUAUUUGGGUCAUCUGGGGUCAAAAACUAGGUCAUUAGGUCAAAAACUAGGUCACAUAAUAGGUCAAAUAAUAGAAAAACCUUGUGUAGACAAAAGAGGCCGCAGUUUUCAUCCAAACUUUAUGAACUUUGGUCAGAAUAUUUAUCUUGAUGGAAUCUGGGUUGGGAUUGUAUUUGGGUCAAAAACUAGGUCACUAGGUAAAAAACUAGGUCACAUAAUAGGUCAAAUAAUAGAAAAACCUUGUGUAGACAAUAGAGGCCGCAGUUUUCAUCCAAUCUUUAUGAAAUUUGGUCAAAAUGUUUAUCUUGAUAAAAUCUGGGUUGGGAUUGUAUUUGGGUCAUCUGGGGUCAAAAACUAGGUCACUAGGUCAAAUAAUUGAAAAAUCAUCAAUUAUUUGUUUGUGUUGACAGUAGAGGUCACAGUUUUCAUCCUAUGUUUAUGAAAUUUGGACAGAAUGUUUAUUUUGAUGAAAUCUGGGUUGGGAUUGUAUUUGGGUCAUCUGGGGUCAAAAACUAGGUCACUAGGUCAAAAACUAGGUCAACUAAUAGAAAAACCUUGUAUAGACAAUAGAGGUCGCAGUUAUCAUCCAAUCUUUAUGAAAUUUGGUCAGAAUGUUUAUCUUGAUGAAAUCUGGCUUGGGAAUGUAUUUUGGUCAUCUGGGGUCAAAAACUAGGUCACUAGGUCAAAAAAUAUGUCAAAUAAUAGAAAAACCUUGUGUAGACAAUAGAGGUCGCAGUUUUCAUCCAAUCUUUAUGAAAUUCGGUCAGAAUGUCUAUCUUGAUGAAAUCUGGGUUGGGAUUGUAUUUGGAUCAUCUGAGGUCAAAGACUAGGUCACUAGGUCAAAUAAUAGAAAACCCGUCAACAAUUUGUUUGUGUAGACAGUAGAGGUCACAGUUUUCAUCCAAUCUUUAUGAAAUUUGGUCAGAAUGUUUAUCUUGAUGAAAUCUGAGUUGGGUUUGUAUUUGGGUCAUCUGGGGUCAAAAACUAGGUCACUAGGUCAAAUUAUAGAAAAACCUUUUGUAGACAAUAGAGGUCACAGUUUUCAUCCAAUCUUUAUGAAAU